GCCACCGUAGCUCAGCGGUAGAGCGGCGGUUUUGUAAACCGCAGGUCGGGAGUUCGAUCCUCUCCGGUGGCU
rnacentral:tRNA from 1 species